ACGUAGGUGGCGAGCGUUAUCCGGAAUUAUUGGGCGUAAAGAGGGAGCAGGCGGCAGCAGAGGUCUGUGGUGAAAGACUGAAGCUUAACUUCAGUAAGCCAUAGAAACCGGGCAGCUAGAGUGCAGGAGAGGAUCGUGGAAUUCCAUGUGUAGCGGUGAAAUGCGUAGAUAUAUGGAGGAACACCAGUGGCGAAGGCGACGAUCUGGCCUGUAACUGACGCUCAGUCCCGAAAGCGUGGGGAGCAAAUAGG
rnacentral:rRNA from 1 species